rnacentral:rRNA from 1 species
AAGGGCCAUCGCUCAACGGAUAAAAGCUACCCCGGGGAUAACAGGCUUAUCUCCCCCAAGAGUUCACAUCGACGGGGAGGUUUGGCACCUCGAUGUCGGCUCAUCGCAUCCUGGGGCUGUAGUCGGUCCCAAGGGUUGGGCUGUUCGCCCAUUAAAGCGGUACGCGAGCUGGGUUCAGAACGUCGUGAGACAGUUCGGUCCCUAUCCGUCGUGGGCGUAGGAAAUUUGAGAGGAGCUGUCCUUAGUACGAGAGGACCGGGAUGGACAUACCUCUGGUGUACCAGUUGUCGUGCCAACGGCAUAGCUGGGUAGCUAUGUGUGGACGGGAUAAGUGCUGAAAGCAUCUAAGCAUGAAGCCCCCCUCAAGAUGAGAUUUCCCAACUUCGGUUAUAAGAUCCCUCAAAGAUGAUGAGGUUAAUAGGUUCGAGGUGGAAGCAUGGUGACAUGUGGAGCUGACGAAUACUAA